AUGAGGACCUGGCAGGGGAGACACCAUGAUCAAGAAGGCGGUUCACCCAGGGCGAGGCUCGUCCAUUGCACUCCGGCCGUGCUGACCCCUGCGAAUUCCCCAAAUGUGGGAAUCUCGACUGCAUAAGUUAUGGUAGUGGGGGACUGCGUUCGCGCUCUCCCCUG
rnacentral:snRNA from 1 species